rfam:Beta vulgaris subsp. vulgaris contig117085.1, whole genome shotgun sequence.
AUCCUUGCACAGGAGGCAAUAUCGCAUCAAAUGAGGUGCAAACCGAUGAGCGAUUUUUGCUAAUUGAAAACUAUUCCGAACCCCCAGUUCGGCCACCUCUGCUUGCAAGUGGCCAACUGAAUUUCUGGACCCUGGUUGUCACCA